AUUGAACGCUGGCGGCAGGCCUAACACAUGCAAGUCGAGCGGGGGUUUUCGGACCUAGCGGCGGACGGGUGAGUAAUGCGUAGGAAGCUGCACGAUAGAGGGGGAUACCAGUUGGAAACGACUGUUAAUACCGAAUAAUGUCUACGGACCAAAGUGUGGGACCUUCGGGCCACAUGCUAUCGGAUGCGCCGACGUGGGAUUAGCGAGUUGUGGAGGUAAUGGCUCACCAAGGCGACGAUCUCUGGCUGGUUUGAGAGGAUGAUCAGCCACACUGCAACUGAGACACGGUCCGGACUCCUACGGGAGGCAGCAGUGGGGAAUAUUGGACAAGGGGCGCAAGCCUGAUCCAGCCAUGCCGCGUGUGUGAAGAAGGCCUUCGGGUUGUAAAGCACUUUCAGCGAGGAGGAAGGGGUGUGUGUUAAUAGUACACACCUUUGACGUUACUCGCAGAAGAAGCACCGGCUAACUCUGUGCCAGCCGCCGCCGUAAUAC
rnacentral:rRNA from 1 species